CUUUAAAUGCCUUUGGGCCUUUUGCUGAUGACCCACUUAGCCGUCAAAAAAAGGGCAAAGGAAAAACACCGCUUUUGUGUGAAGCGGCAGCGUGUUGUGUUGCUUUGCUUCAAUCAAGGUAAAAAAAAAG
rnacentral:snoRNA from 1 species